GCUCUCUAUGGUUCUCCGGAAGCAGACGCUCCUCCUUCCCGCGCCUGUCUCUCCAAGAGUGGUAACGGUUGUGGCGCGUGCCGCCUCGGCCAUGGCGUGUAGACGCGGGGCGCUGGUGGUGCUGGAGGGUGUGGACCGGACCGGGAAGACCACGCAGAGCCGGAGGCUGGUGGAAGCGCUGAAGGCAUCUGGGCACCUCGCCGAGCUCCUGCGAUUCCCGGACAGAACAACAGAAAUUGGGCGGCUAAUUAGCUCCUACUUGGAGAACAAGAGCAAUUUGGAAGACCACACAGUGCAUCUGCUUUUCUCUGCUAACCGCUGGGAACAAGUGCCGUUGAUUAAAGAGAAGUUAAAUCAAGGCAUCACUCUAGUGGUGGACAGAUACGCCUUUUCCGGGGUGGCCUUCACAAGUGCCAAAGAGAAUUUCUCCUUGGAUUGGUGCAAACAGCCUGAUGUAGGGCUUCCAAAGCCAGAUUUGAUCCUAUUUCUUCAGUUGAGCACGUUGGAGGCAGCAAAACGAGGGGACUUUGGAAAUGAACGCUAUGAGAACAGCUCCUUCCAGGAGAAAGUUCUACAGAACUACCACCAUCUGAUAAAGGACAAGACUUUAAACUGGAAGAUAUUCCUGAUGGCUGGGCCUUACCUGGUGUGAGAUUCAGAACAUCAGGGCUGGAAAAGUGUGAUGGCUGAUGUUCUACCAGUUCAAACAUUGGCAGAGCUCCUCUUAGCAAGGACAGCUGUGGAGUGAACACAGAAGCCAGCCUAUUAGCACAAAUAUGCUGUCAAUCAAGGAUAAUAGUGACAGCCUCUUCACUCAGGAGCUGGAAGACAGAUAAAGGUGUUUUAUGGACUAUUCUCCCCAUAAUCUUCACCCAGAUCCUACACCUGCUAAGGCACUUCGCCAUGAAAACAAGGCGAGGACUCUACACCGCUGCUGAUGGCUAAACAAGGUUCCCAAGUGAAUACUGAAAUAAGCCAAAAGACAAAGGUAAUUAGGCUGUUGGUUCGUGUUAUCGGUAUGCAGAGGCUAAAAGCCAAAAGACUUUAAAAGCACAUCCUAUGGCAGAACUUCAAAGAAAGCUGCCACUUCCCCUCCCAGGCUAGGCCAUUGCACAGCCAGCUGUUAAGAUAAAGUUUAGAACACUGAGAGUCACCAGAACUAGUGGGCUGGUUUUACAGACUCAGCUGCUCCUUAAUACACUGAUAGCAUGAAAUUUUUUGCAACUAUUUUCUCUUCUCUCUGGUCACUGUAUAUCCAGGGUGUAGGGAGAUAGAAAGUAAAAAAGCCAAAGAGGAGAUCCUCCAGAGGUCACCACCCAGACUCAUGCCAAUAUGUUAGAUCAAUUUCUCCUAUUUGGUCAGCAGAGCUCUCCUUUAACCAGGCUGGUGGUUUGUCACUUACAGAAGACUCAAAAACAUGCUAGAUGGUGUACAGAACAAAUGCAUUGCCCUUGUCUUAAAAAAUUUGCAAUCAAAUUUUAAAUGUCGCAAUGGAUGGGAGCAGCCAACAAUGGAGGAGGUAGUGGGGAGAUGGGGCGAGAACAAGGUUUACAGCAGUAAUAAGAUCAAAUGGUUACUUGAUUAUAGCAUAGGCACGUCUUGGGGCUUCCUUGGAAAGUCAUUGCUUGCAUGGGAGCAGCACAGAAAAAGGUGCAGAGAUGGGAAUGGAAAGGAGCGAAAGGGCUGUUGAAGCAUACAUUUAAAGAGCUGUUGAAGCUUGUUGUGCCACAGGCACUUUAUCUCGUGCUUCCCCUAGUACUUUUUGGGCAGUCCCUGCUGUUUCACUAAUAGAGGAGGAAGUUUGCAUCUGUGGUCUUACUACUGUCUACUGUAAACUGAGAUAGCAUUAAUCAAGUUCAUAAAUUAAGCCUGUAGAAGUUUAAGUUAACUGAUAUUCAAGGGAACAGAGACACAAGGUGGGUGAGGUAAUUUUUUUUAUUGGACCAACUGUCGAGUCACGCAGAGCACUUCUUCAGAUCCUGUUCUUCUGCUGUCCCUGCCUCAAAGAAUUUUCACAACAAUGAUGACACCACUCACAAUGACCACAUCCCCACCAACAAUCAUAAGAAAAAAAAUAAUCUGAUUGGGCACCACAGAGCGGAUGAAACUGCACUCAUGAUCAUUACAUUGAUUGCUUCAGGGGAAAAAUUGACUGCAAAAUCCUUAAAUAUCACAUCCACCGUAAUCUCUCCACUACUAAGAGGACACCCAUACAGUCCGUGAAAUCUAACCACAAGAUCAUGAUCAAGCCAGCAGAUCAAGCAACGGUAGUCCUCAACCAUGAUGUCAUUGAUAAGGCCAAUUGACAACUCUCCAACACCACCUACUAUCAAGAACUGAAAGACAACCGCACACCACAAUUUACCCAGGAACUUAGGGAUCUCAUCAAAUCCUUCCCCAAACAACUUCAAGAGAAACUCUACAACUUCGUCCCCCAGGAACCCACCCCAGGGACCUUCUACAUUCUUUCCAAGAAUACACAAACAAGAUCCAUCAUAUCUGCCCACAACACUCUUAUUGAAGGAAUAUUGGAAAUCACUCACCAAACAAAAGACCAGCUUCCUCGAGGACACACAGACUUCCUCCACAAACUCCACAACGUUAACAACCGCCCUCAGAACACCAUCCUCGCCACCAAGGAGGACACUUCCCUAUACAACAUCCCUCACAAUGAUGGCAUAGCUGCCUACCUCAAAUAUUCACAAGACAAUGGACAACCCUCAGAUAUCCACCCCAAACACAUCACCAAACUCAUUCAUUCCAUCCUAACCCACAACAAUUUUACAUUCAACAAACACACUUUCUCCAAACCAUGGGAACAGCCCUGGGUACUAGGAUGGCUCCCCAAUAUGCCAACCCCUUCACGGG